CAGAGAGAAUGGGGCAUCUUCUUAUUGAGUGCUGCCUGUCACAUUAAGGAGCAACUGUCUGCUUGGUGUUAGUAGACAUUUAACAGCCCUCUCACUCUGGCAAAGUUCAAUUGUCAACAAAGCGCUGGCAUCAGGAUAAGAACCUUCAGCAAGCAACAGUGACUAGCUGUGAUCUAAUGAUAACCUUUCAUUUCAUUUCAUAUUUAGAUUUAUAUUUACCUUCUCUUUCUAUUAAAUGGUGCUAGUUGUCCAUUGGAAGGAGUCAUAUGAAAUUAUCUUCUAAAAUAAAUAUAUUCAAAUAUUUUUAAAUCAGUUUAAAGAAAAAAUUAAAUAAACAUUUACAUAGGCGAUAUGUGAAUGCUGAAAUUUCAGGUAACAAGAAGAAAGAGGAAAGAGGGCUUCAGUGAAAGACCAGCAGCUG
rnacentral:lncRNA from 1 species